GUACAGACAAAGAAGGGCCUGCUCCCAAGAUUGCUAAACAAGAUUCCAGUGAUGAUGACACCAGCGACGAGACCUCUGAAUCUGAUGAGGUAUGUUAUCAUUUUUGUGUUUUAAUGCUGAAGAAAUCAGCAACCAACAAAUUGAAUUGUUAAUGUAGUUUUCAGAGUUUUUAGAUGCUAAUUCAUCUUCUCAUUAAGGAACCUGCAAAGAAGCCUGCUGUUAAACCCUUGGUUGUAGUUGCAAAAAAUGGUUCGAAGACAGUCUAGCAAGAGAGCAGCAGCGAUGAGGAUAGUUCUGAAGAUGAGUCGAAUGAUGACAGUGAUGAUGUGAGUUGAAGUUUCCUAUUUGUCUUAUGUCUUGUGCACAGUUAAUUUCAUUUACCACCAUGGCAACACAGAUUAAUGGUUUAGUUGUCAUGACCCUAGGAAUUUGGUAGCCAACCAAUUGAUUAUUUGAAUGUACUUCUCAGAUGUUGAGCUACCAACCCAUUUUCUUUUGAUUUAGGAACCUGCAAACAAGGCUGCUAGUAAACCCUUGGGUGCCGUUGCUAAAAAUGGUUUGAAGAAAGGCAAGCAAGAAACCAGCAGCGAUGAGACCAGUUCUAAUGAUGAGUCAGACGAUGAUGUUGUGAGUGGAACAUUCAUGUUUGUUUGCCUUUAAUUCCAUUUUACUGUAAGAUUAAUGAUAGCAUUUGUUG
rnacentral:lncRNA from 1 species